UACGUAGGGGGCAAGCGUUGUCCGGAUUUAUUGGGCGUAAAGAGCGUGUAGGCGGCCAUACAGGUCAGCUGUGAAAACUCGAGGCUCAACCUCGAGAGGUCGGUUGAAACCGUAUGGCUAGAGUCCGGAAGAGGAGAGUGGAAUUCCCGGUGUAGCGGUGAAAUGCGCAGAUAUCGGGAAGAACACCCGUGGCGAAGGCGGCUCUCUGGCCCGUAACUGACGCUCAUGCACGACAGCGUGGGGAUCAAACAGG
rnacentral:rRNA from 1 species